rnacentral:lncRNA from 1 species
GCCGAUCUCUCCCUGGUUAAUUCAAUCCACCCAUGAUCCAUCUACUACGAGUCUAGCACUGAAGAAGCAGAUGUGCAGUUUGCAGGUACGGUCACUGUGCCCUCAAACACUGAGGAUUGCUUUUGCAAUUGCAGGCAGCCUCCUUUUCCUUGUGACCUCUGCAAGUAAAAUACAGCAAACCCUGUCAUGCUAACUCUGGCAGUCAAUUCAGUAAAGCGCGAGCUUAAUUGUAUGUGCCAGAAAUCCUUACCUUACAUUUGGCCCUGUUCUCUUUUUGCUGGUACUGUACCGGGUCAAUGGUCUUGCGUUCAGGGUACCCGAUGCUGAUGCCAAACACAUCCAGAAUUUCAUAUUAAUUAGUACAUAAGCGUGCACUAGUUGGUCCUUUUUCAUCACCCAGCUCAUUUACAUACUAUACUAAAUUUGAGCACGCUGAUCACGUUCUGCAUCAACUGU